GGCAACGGGUCAGGGAUGGCGUGCCCUCCACCCCAACGGGCCCUAAAGCUGCAUUGCUGAAAGGGGGCAGGCCCCAUUCUCAGCCCUCCCCAGAACAGGGCAGGGAGGACAAUGGCAGAUGGUCACCAUGGAGCCUCAUCCCCGAGAGGCCCAAUGCAGGGGGAUGAUGCAGAUGGAAGAUCUGUCUGCUUCAACAUUCCACCCUAACCCCACUCCCUAAAGAGCUAGGCAGAAAACCCCUGGGCUUAGAACUGGGGAGUAGGGCAAAGGCCUUGACUAUUCCUUCAACGAGGAGCUACCUCUCUCUUCUCCAUUCAACACAGAGCAAAACUCCCACACACCACUUUUCCAUGAUGCUUUUCUCACCCUGAAGGGGAGAUUGCAUGGCCUGCUCUCUUCUCUGGUUACUGGCAACUGUGCCCAAGGAUGAAAAUGAGAUGACUGAAGCCCAGGAAGAAGGUAUGGACACCGAGGAACACAGAGAGGUAACGCAUCUGGUAAGCAGUGGGAAGAACAACUUGACGCUUUGCAGAAAUAUGAAGGGGAAACAGAAAACAGACAUGGAGGAACUCGCUCUGAGUUAUGGAUUACUAUGACGAUUACACACGCGUGAAUCAAAAGGGCAAGUUCCCCAAAGGCCUCAAACCCAAAGACAUGGCUGGAGUGCUGGGAGGUACAGUGAACCUGGCACUCGGGCCUGGUUUUACACUUCCCAGAAUAAAAGCCCAUCACAACGAAA